rnacentral:rRNA from 1 species
AGUGAACGCUGGCGGUAGGCCUAACACAUGCAAGUCGAACGGCAGCACAGUAAGAGCUUGCUCUUACGGGUGGCGAGUGGCGGACGGGUGAGGAAUACAUCGGAAUCUACUUUUUCGUGGGGGAUAACGUAGGGAAACUUACGCUAAUACCGCAUACGACCUACGGUUGAAAGCAGGGGAUCUUCGGACCUUGCGCGAUUGAAUGAGCCGAUGUCGGAUUAGCUAGUUGGCGGGGUAAAGGCCCACCAAGGCGACGAUCCGUAGCUGGUCUGAGAGGAUGAUCAGCCACACUGGAACUGAGACACGGUCCAGACUCCUACGGGAGGCAGCAGUGGGGAAUAUUGGACAAAGGGCGCAAGCAUGAUCCAGCCAUACCGCGUGGGUGAAGAAGGCCUUCGGGUUGUAAAGCCCUUUUGUUGGGAAAGAAAAGCAGCAGGUUAAUACCCCGCUGUUCUGACGGUACCCAAAGAAUAAGCACCGGCUAACUUCGUG